rnacentral:lncRNA from 1 species
CAGGUACUUCAUUAUCAAUAGAAAUUGCUAUUAGAUUCUAAAAAAGAAAAAAAAAAAACUAAGGUAUAGUAACAAUCUUAGCAGUAAGAAGAUGAACAUGCAUGAACUUUUUAUUAUUAUGUUGACCUUAGUUUCUGUAUCAUAUAACAAGGUAUGGUAACAAUCUUAGCAGUAAGAAGAUGAACAUGAACUUUUUAUUAUUAUUUUGACCUUAGUUUCUGUAUCAUAUAACACUUGCUUAUAUAGAACUUUAUAAUUAAACUGCAAUAAUUUAACAUACUUGAACCAUAUAUAAACUCAUAAUACAUUUUUCUUUCCAUUGUGGAUAUAUAAGUGCUCAAAAUCCCUCCAAAGGUUAUGCAAAUUGAUGAAAAAUGGGUUUUUCCGUGGCUUCAUACUCAUUCUGCAGAGCAUCUCAAGUUCUUUUGCAUUACUAAAGCCAAUAAUUGUUUAAUAAAUGCCUUUUCUCUAAGCAUGCUGUGUGUUAUGAAAGAACACUAGCAGAUUUCUUCAGUUUCUUUGUGUUGCUUCAAUUGAUUGCCUUGCAAAGGCACUGGUUAUUGUUGUUGAUGCCUUUCUUGUACAAAAUAUUUUUAAAAACUUAGAACAUGUCACUCCAAAGUCAUAAUAUCCACUAACAAAGAUAGGAACUACUCUUGGCCAAUAUUAAAUGAGAUAAUUGAUGUUUGUCGAUGAAAUAAGUCUUAUCCCACUAGGUGAGGUCGACUAUCAGUUUUACAUUGGCAACUGCAAACCUAACACAACCUUCCUCAGAUGUCACCGCUACAAAAUAUUAGAUUCUGCAGAAAAACUAAGGGCGCGAAAGCAAAGAAGAUGAUCAGAUUUUUUUUUCAUCUUCUGCAUCACUUUGCAACUGGUACAACACCUAAAUACACGGAAUUCUUAGAAAACAAAGAGUUGUCAAAUACUUGUACCAUGAGCACAUAGUGUCUUAUUUUAAAGUACUUCAUUAUUAAUUAGUAUAGUUCCUUAUUUCUCAGAAUAUAUGCCUGGAAGUAAAACAUGUUUGAUUCUCUCAAGCAAUGUCUCGAGUUCGAGUCUUGUGUACGGAAAACCCCCCGCUAGGAGAAUUAGCACCACGAGAAUGUGGAUGUCCACGACAUUACCUCCCUAGAAGAUAACUGUGUUGAGAUAAAAAAGAAUUAACUUCUAUCUAUUAUCACUUACUCGUUAACUAGUUUGUAUCAUAAUAUAAGUUUCUUCUUCUAUUUUUUUUUGUGUUUCUUUUGGGUGAAACUAGUUGGCAUCAAAAGCUAACUAAAUCUCAUCAUUCUAGGUUAACUUUUCUUUUUCUUCCUGUGAGAAACAUUUCCUAACAGAUCG